rnacentral:lncRNA from 1 species
GAAUGAAAUUACAACAACACUAAAUGGAUUGAAAUUAAAACAACACUAACAAGAGUGCACACUCACUUAAACCUUAGAGCACGAACAUGAAGUUCAAAUUAAUGGAAAUACACAAAAUAGGGAAACAAACUUAUGCUAGCGACAACGUAUUGUCUACACAUUCUGACGAUGAUUUUCACCUUGAUUUGUUGGGCACCUGGUUGUCCUCUGAGUUGUUGGGCAAGUCCUUUGGUUAAGGCCCAAGGUGUGACAUACGGGGCACACCAUCUGUGAUGUCGGGACGGUCAGAAAUUGGCCUCCAUGUGCCCAUCUUGGUUGCAAGCAGUACAAUGUGGGUCUAUGUCUUCGGUCCAAUCCAUUUCAUUGUGGAUUUUAGUGUGCCUCAGUCUCCCUUAGAUACAGAGAAGAUUUCGGUUCGGGAUGAUCUCAAGUCCACCAUGUUGUGCCCAGUCCUCCGGCCCAUCGAUAGGGCAGAAACUAACAACAAAUAUCUAAGCAAUUGUGGACAGCUUGAACAUGAGAUGCACGAAGUGGAACGGGUUGAGGUUGAUUGCAUUGCACACUGCAUAAGCAUGGAUACAUGAAAUCUUCGAGUGCUGGAAGAUGCCAUAAGAGCAUGAACUAGUCAUGUUUGUGUGAUCUAGGUAGACCCUUUAUGUGUGG